AACGCGAAGAACCUUACCAGGACUUGACAUACACGUGGUAGGAAGAUGAAAUUCAACCGACCCUUCGGGGAGCGUGUACAGGUGCUGCAUGGCUGUCGUCAGCUCGUGCCGUGAGGUGUUAGGUUAAGUCCUGUAACGAGCGCAACCCACGUCGCUAGUUAUGCGUGUCUAGCGAGACUGCCGGUGAUAAGCCGGAGGAAGGUGUGGAUGACGUCAAGUCAGCAUGGCCUUUAUGUCCUGGGCUACACACACGCUACAAUGGCCGGUACAAUGGGUAGCCAAGCCGUGAGGCGGAGCCAAUCCUCUAAAGCCGGUCUCAGUUCGGAUUGUAGGCUGCAACUCGCCUACAUGAAGUCGGAGUUGCUAGUAACCGCGCGUCAGCCAUAGUGCGGUGAAUACGUUCCCGGGUCUUGUACACACCG
rnacentral:rRNA from 1 species